rnacentral:lncRNA from 1 species
GACACACCAUUGGCUUUGCUCAUUGCAAAGAGUUUGCAAAUAGGAUUUUCCCUAAUGCUGAUCCAACAAUGAACCCAAUAUUAGUUGAAAGAUUAAGAAAAAUGUGUGCAAAUUACACUACCAACAAGGACAUGGCAGCCUUCUUAGAUGUCAUUAGUCCCGGUAAUUUUGACAAUGUAAUUUUCAAGAACAUAAUGAAGGGGAUAAGUGUACUAGGAUCAGACCAAAUAUUGUUCUCUGAUCCUCGAACAAAGCCAUUUGUAGAGCUAUAUGCCAAAGAUCCAGUUGCUUUUGCUAAUGAUUUUGGUAAAGCAAUGGAGAAAGUAAGUGUAUAUCAAGUCAAAAGUGGUGCACAAGGAGAAGUCAGAAAGAGAUGUGAUGCUAUUAAUGAUGCACACCAUUGAAAGAAUUUGAAAUGAGUUAAUGAGUAAUGAGUUUUCUUUUAUGAUUUUUUGUUUUGUUUUUUGAAUAAUGCACACCAUGAUGGGUAGAAUUUUGUGUUGCUAAUGAUAUGAUGAUCAAUGAUAAUAUUGGACAAGAAUGUUAUUAGUAUUUGUGAUUAUUUGAUUAAUUUUUUUUGUUGUUUUGUUAUUGUAAAGUUUGCAUGACCAAGAAGUGGAACAAGUAAUUUCCUUUUUAUGAAAUUUUGUUCCAUUAUUUUGGUAAGGAUAUAGUACCAUUACAUAUAUUGUGCAUUAAGGCCAUGUUAUUUCAAUUUCAAACUAAUAAAGUUAACAAUAUGUUAUGUUGAUUGUAUGCUUCUCAAUUAUUUGAGUAGCUUCGCUGGUUGGCUACGUAUACUUUCACCUUAUUGUUGAUUUGAAGACCAGUAACACGCGAUUUCAGCCCUGUGCUCUAACAUACGCACGUAAAUAUCAAACUUUUUGUAUACGGAAAAGUCUCUUAUCUGAAUAGCUUCGUCGGUUGGCUACAUGUACUUUCACCUUAUUGUUGAUUUGAAGACCAGUAACACGCGAUUUCAGCCCUGUGCUCUCACACAGGCACAUAAAUAUCAAACUUUUUGUAUCCGGAAAAAUCUCUUAUCUGAGUAGCUUCGUUGGUUGGCUACAUGUACUUUCACCUUAUUGUUGAUUUGAAGACCAGUAACACGCGAUUUCAGCCCUGUGCUCUCACACAGGCACAUAAAUAUCAAACUUUUUGUAUCCGGAAAAAUCUCUUAUCUGAGUAGCUUCGUUGGUUGGCUACAUGUACUUUCACCUUAUUGUUGAUUUGAAGACCAGUAACACGCGAUUUCAGCCCUGUGCUCUCACACAGGCACAUAAAUAUCAAACUUUUUGUAUCCGGAAAAAUCUCUUAUCUGAGUAGCUUCGUUGGUUGGCUACAUGUACUUUCACC